rnacentral:tRNA from 1 species
GCCUCGGUAGUCUAGCCCGGACAAGGAUAGCGGCCUUUCGAGCCGCGGACCCGGGUUCAAAUCCCGGCCGAGGCA